CAAUCGGAACGUCUCGGUUAUUAUCAAUAAUGUAAGGACCAAAAAGAUGCGAAUAACAUUAUUGAGAACUCAACUACAGUAAAAGUGUUUAAUAAAAACGGAAGAUCAUAAUAUUUUUUUUCUGAUUUAACCAGCUCAGAAUAAUUUUCAUCCAACCACACCAAAAUAUUUCUCAUUCAUCAAAGUGGGCGAAAAUGUUGUUAUAACUUUUGGCCCAAUCCCUUUUCUUAUUUGCAUUAAGGUAUUUAUGUGAAAUUGUGUAUUAUUGUGAAAUUUUAUGUAUGUAUAUAAAUUAUAUACAAUGAAUUAUGUUCAUACUAAAAUCCAUCAAAGACACAAUAUUUCCAAUUCAACCAAAUAACAAUAUUCAAAUAAACCAGAAUAUUUCUCAUUCGACCAUUUUUAUUCAUCAGUAAAAAUAUUUCUUAUUCGACCAAAUCACAAUAUAUUUCGUUUAUUCCUCUUUCACACAAAUAGAAAAGUUCUCAUAUUUCCCAUUCAGCCAAAUAGAAUAGUUCAUUCAACUAAAUUAGAAUAUUUUUCUUUCAUACAAAUCAGAAUAAUUUCUAUGAGCUGAUAUGUUUACAUGUAACAGGUUAGCGUACUAUCACUAUAAAGUUAUUUAUUUACCUUUCUAUCAAAAAACUUCCUGUUGUUAUGAAGGAAAGAUACGAGUGUUUUAAUUAAUACAACGCUACAUAAUUCGAAUAGUACUAGAUUUUUGUCAGGAUUGUUUGCUAGGUUAACAAUGUAUGGAUUUUUCGAAUGUUCCAACUGUAAGUCCCGAUGGGAAAGUGCCAAGGUUUUUGAAAGACCUGGAGCAACAACGUACUGGGGACAAGAGUGCAAGAAAUGUAAGGUCAUGUGCCAGCCAUAUAGAGUGGAGGAGACAAUGUGCUCUCGUUGUGGGGAAGUUGCUAAAACAUGCAAGUGUGACAAGACCCGUCAUACCGACCCAAAGAAACCUCAUAUGUCGCCACUUUGUGAGAAAUGUCGCUCGGGCAAUCCAUGUCAAUAACUCUUCUUUGAAUGUAACAAUGAAAUCACAUGAUAAAGGCGGGCUAAAUAUAGUGUUAUAAAAAUAACAGUUACCUAAGCCUCGCACGCUAAAACUAUUCUGUCUGAUUAUGUUAAUUGUCGGCUAUGAUCUAGUGUCAUAUUUUGAAACAUAUAUCAAACUCGUUUCAUAGCUUAUUGAUUACUUCACUAAUAAUAAACAAUAUUUGACAAUUUUAUCAGUUCGACAUAUUUUAUCUAUUUACCUUUUGUACUGUAUAUUUACAUGUAAAACGAACGCAUACACUGUCAAAAGAAGUACAAUGUAUUUGAUAUUUAUAUAAACAUCAUAACUAUAUCACGUAUCAGUUAGGUUUCUAAAAACAUAUAGGAUAAAAUGUUAAAUGACGGUGUAGAAAAUUGAUGUACUUUUAUACUUAAUUUAAUUAUAUAAUUUCAAUGGCGGUCCAAUCUUGCUAUAAAAAUGGGAUGCACCGAUUUAUUGUUAGUCUUGAAAAGUAAUUAAAUGAUAAUGAAAGUGAAAUGGUUUAUCUAAUAAGAAAUGGGCAUUGUAAGAUCAGAAUAAAAUAGUAUUAAAAAGUA